GACGAACGCUGGCGGCGUGCUUAACACAUGCAAGUCGAACGGAAAGGCCCUGCUUUUGUGGGGUGCUCGAGUGGCGAACGGGUGAGUAACACGUGAGUAACCUGCCCUUGACUUUGGGAUAACUUCAGGAAACUGGGGCUAAUAUCGGAUAGGAGCUCCUGCUGCAUGGUGGGGGUUGGAAAGUUUCGGCGGUUGGGGAUGGACUCGCGGCUUAUCAGCUUGUUGGUGGGGUAGUGGCUUACCAAGUCUUUGACGGGUAGCCGGCCUGUGAGGGUGACCGGCCACAAUAGGACUGAGAUACGGCCCAGACUCCUACGUGGGGCAGCAGUGGGGAGUAUGGCACAAUGAGCGGAAGCGUGAUGCAGCAACGCCGCGUGCGGGAUGACGGCCUUCGGGUUGUAAAACGCUUUCGCCUGUGACGAAGCUUGAGUGACGGUAAUGGAUAAAUAAGCACCGGCUAACUACGUG
rnacentral:rRNA from 1 species